rnacentral:rRNA from 1 species
UUUUCGUCAAUGGGCGCAAGCCUGAACGAGCAAUGCCGCGUGAACGAGGAAGGUCUUCGGAUCGUAAAGUUCUGUUGAAGGGGAAAACGAGCGGAGAGAGGAAAUGAACUCCGAUUGAUAUUACCCUUCGAGGAAGUCACGGCUAACUACGUGCCAGCAGCCGCGGUAAUAAGUAGGUGGCGAGCGUUAACCGGAAUGAUUCGGCGUAAAGUGUGCGUAGGCGGCCUGCUAAGUCUGGAGUGAAAAGUACCGGCUCAACCGGUACAGGCUCUGGAAACUGGCGGGCUAGAGAGCAGGAGAGGGCGGUGGAACUCCAUGUGUAGCGGUAAAAUGCGUAGAUAUAUGGAAGAACACCAGUGGCGAAGGCGGCCGCCUGGCCCGUUGACUGACGCUGAGGCACGAAAGCGUGGGGAGCAAAUAGG